UGGGGAAUCUUGCGCAAUGGGCGAAAGCCUGACGCAGCCAUGCCGCGUGUAUGAUGAAGGUCUUAGGAUUGUAAAAUACUUUCACCGGUGAAGAUAAUGACUGUAGCCGGAGAAGAAGCCCCGGCUAACUUCGUGCCAGCAGCCGCGGUAAUACGAAGGGGGCUAGCGUUGCUCGGAAUUACUGGGCGUAAAGGGAGCGUAGGCGGACAUUUAAGUCAGAGGUGAAAUCCCGGAGCUUAACUUCGGAACUGCCUUUGAUACUGGAUGUCUUGAGUGUGAGAGAGGUAUGUGGAACUCCGAGUGUAGAGGUGAAAUUCGUAGAUAUUCGGAAGAACACCAGUGGCGAAGGCGACAUACUGGCUCAUUACUGACGCUGAGGCUCGAAAGCGUGGGGAGCAAACA
rnacentral:rRNA from 1 species